UGCGCCAUCGCCAAGCGGUAAGGCAGAGGACUUUGACUCCUCCAUCGCAGGUUCGACCCCUGCUGGCGCAA
rnacentral:tRNA from 1 species